UAUAUUCUAAUAGCUUAACCUAAAAAGCAUUGGUCU
rnacentral:tRNA from 2 species